rnacentral:snRNA from 1 species
GCUUGCUUUGGCAGCGCAUACAUUAAAAUUAGAACAGUACAGAGAAGCUUAGCAUGGCCCCUGUGCAAGGAUGACAGGCAUAUUCAUGAAGCAUUCCAUAUUUUU